rnacentral:rRNA from 1 species
UACGUAGGGUGCAAGCGUUAAUCGGAAUUACUGGGCGUAAAGCGUGCGCAGGCGGUUUUGUAAGUCUGAUGUGAAAUCCCCGGGCUCAACCUGGGAAUUGCAUUGGAGACUGCAAGGCUAGAAUCUGGCAGAGGGGGGUAGAAUUCCACGUGUAGCAGUGAAAUACGUAGAGAUGUGGAGGAACACCGAUGGCGAAGGCAGCCCCCUGGGUCAAGAUUGACGCUCAUGCACGAAAGCGUGGGGAGCAAACAGG